rnacentral:pre_miRNA from 1 species
AGUGGAAUAACUGGGUCAAAUGGUGGUUUCAUUCCAAGUUUUCUGAGGAAUCUCCAUACUGCUUUCUAGAGUGGUUGCUCCAAUUUGCAGUCCCACCAGCAAU